GCUACACACUAGAGCCAGAUGACCGGUUGGCUCUACUCUUAUGAGUUGUGAAUUACCAUUUAUUUUCUGUUCACAUCCAUAUAUAGUUCAUACUAUCUGCACUAUGUUUAUGUUGCAUAUUACUUACAGAUCACUGUGAAGGAAUACCAUUGAAUUUAUUUGUCAUUUUUCCAAGUACUUCAGGUACUUUAAAGCUCCACUUAUAUUCUUUUUUUUAGACUUUUGGUGUUUGUGAAGGUUAAGGGGAUCCUCUACAUAAGUGUUGAGCUUGGAUUGUUUUGUUUAAGUGUGCACUUUCUUGUUUGUUGUUUU
rnacentral:lncRNA from 1 species